AGGAGGCUCAGGACGGGGAGAGCUGGAGGGAGGUGGGUGGUGGGCUCUCUGUAGGCCCAGUUCCUGGGAGGGGCCUUUGAUUUUCAGCAGAAAGCUGGGAAAGUGUGCCUUUUGAGGCAGACACCACACAGAGGAGGCUGAGGAGGAGUGGAAUUAGCCUUUUGUGACCAUCCAAGGAGCACUGCCAUGGAGCUAUGUAGGAGAUGGUAGAAUCUGAGGACAGGAGGUAAGCAUGAAAACCAUUUGGAGUCUAUGCAUCACUAUGAGGGGGAGUGAGUGGAUCCAGGGGCUGAUGUUGGCUGCCGGCACAGAAAUAUUUCCCAAGAGCAGGAAGGACAUUCAAAACAACGGAGAUGUACCAUUUAUUGAUGUAGCAGGCCUUUUACAUGUAUGAUCUCGGUUCUCACAGCUACUUCGUGGGGCCUGUCUCCAGCACAAGGAUGCUUUCCUGCUGCAAGUUGUGGAAAAUCCCCUCCAGUUCAGCAGAGGAGUUCACCGUCCUGCCAACUAGGAAGUCCAGAGGUGGGGCUGAGUGGUGCGGCACAGUGAGGCCCGGGCAAGGAGCCCUGUCCUCCACCCACAGGAUGAAGGAAUGUUCUUUCACAUCCCUCACAUCCCUCCCUGGACCCAUGACAGUUGCCAAAGGGAUGCCAGGUGCUGAUUGGAUUCUUGAACACAACACUGGUAAGAGAUGUGCUUAUCUAACCGGGACCUUCCUGGGAGCCGGGGCUGGGCUAGGGGCCUCGGCGUCAUGUGGCUUGAGUGGAGGGGGAAAGGGCCGGGUCUGGGUAGACAUUUCAUGUCUGAUUGGGCG
rnacentral:lncRNA from 1 species